rfam:Candida albicans SC5314 chromosome 2 sequence.
GGCACUAUGGCCGAGUUGGUCUAAGGCGGUAGACUCAAGAAUUGACAAUGAUUCUUCUUCUAUUCUAACAGGGGUUUCUACUAUCGUAAGAUGCAGGAGUUCGAAUCUCCUUGGUGUCA